rnacentral:tRNA from 1 species
GGGGUUGUGGCUCAAUGGUAGAGUGCUCACCUAGCACAUGUGAGGCACUAGGUUUGAUCCUCAGCACCA